rnacentral:tRNA from 1 species
GCCAGGGUGGUGAGUGGUUUGAGCAUUGGACUAGGACUCUGGAGACCAGGGUUCGAUUCCCUGCCUGGCCA